GACGAACGCUGGCGGCGUGCUUAACACAUGCAAGUCGAACGGUGAAGCGCCUUCCUUUGUGGUGGGUGUGGAUGAGUGGCGAACGGGUGAGUAACACGUGAGUAACCUGCCCCCUUCUUCUGGAUAACCGCAUGAAAGUGUGGCUAAUACGGGAUAUUCUGUGCCUGCUGCAUGGUGGGUGUGGGAAAGAUUGCGCCUUUGGGUGUUUUUGGUGGGGGAUGGGCUCGCGGCCUAUCAGCUUGUUGGUGGGGUGAUGGCCUACCAAGGCGGUGACGGGUAGCCGGCCUGAGAGGGUGGACGGUCACACUGGGACUGAGACACGGCCCAGACUCCUACGGGAGGCAGCAGUGGGGAAUAUUGCACAAUGGGCGCAAGCCUGAUGCAGCGACGCCGCGUGAGGGAUGGAGGCCUUCGGGUUGUGAACCUCUUUCGCCAGUGAAGCAGGCCUGUCCCUGUGUGGGUGGGUUGACGGUAGCUGGAUAAGAAGCGCCGGCUAACUACGUGCCAGCAGCCGCGGUAAUACGUAGGGCGCGAGCGUUGUCCGGAAUUAUUGGGCGUAAAGAGCUCGUAGGCGGCUGGUCGCGUCUGUCGUGAAAUCCUCUGGCUUAACUGGGGGCUUGCGGUGGGUACGGGCCGGCUUGAGUGCGGUAGGGGAGGCUGGAACUCCUGGUGUAGCGGUGGAAUGCGCAGAUAUCAGGAAGAACACCGGUGGCGAAGGCGGGUCUCUGGGCCGUUACUGACGCUGAGGAGCGAAAGCGUGGGGAGCGAACAGG
rnacentral:rRNA from 1 species